rnacentral:rRNA from 1 species
UGUAUGGAUUAGUGGCGGACGGGUGAGUAACGCGUGGAUAACCUGCCGUAUACAGGGGGAUAACACUUAGAAAUAGGUGCUAAUACCGCAUAAGCGCACGGUUCCGCAUGGAACAGUGUGAAAAACUCCGGUGGUAUACGAUGGAUCCGCGUCUGAUUAGCCAGUUGGCGGGGUAACGGCCCACCAAAGCGACGAUCAGUAGCCGGCCUGAGAGGGUGAACGGCCACAUUGGGACUGAGACACGGCCCAAACUCCUACGGGAGGCAGCAGUGGGGAAUAUUGCACAAUGGGGGAAACCCUGAUGCAGCGACGCCGCGUGAGUGAAGAAGUAUCUCGGUAUGUAAAGCUCUAUCAGCAGGGAAGAAAAUGACGGUACCUGACUAAGAAGCCCCGGCUAACUACGUGCCAGCAGCCGCGGUAAUACGUAGGGGGCAAGCGUUAUCCGGAUUUACUGGGUGUAAAGGGAGCGUAGACGGCAGCGCAAGUCUGGAGUGAAAUGCCGGGGCCCAACCCCGGAACUGCUUUGGAAACUGUGCAGCUCGAGUGCAGGAGAGGUAAGCGGAAUUCCUAGUGUAGCGGUGAAAUGCGUAGAUAUUAGGAGGAACACCAGUGGCGAAGGCGGCUUACUGGACUGUAACUGACGUUGAGGCUCGAAAGCGUGGGGAGCAAACAGGAUUAGAUACCCUGGUAGUCCACGCCGUAAACGAUGAUUACUAGGUGUCGGGGGGCCAAGGCCCUCCGGUGCCGCCGCAAACGCAUUAAGUAAUCCACCUGGGGAGUACGUUCGCAAGAA